AUCCCCAAAAAAUCCCCCAAAAAAUCCCAGAAUUCCCAGAUUUUUCCCGGAAUUCCCAGAUUUUCCCCGGAAUUCCCGGCUUUUCCCGGGUCUCCAGGUGGGCUACGAGCUGAAGGAGGAGAUCGAGCGCAGCGAAACCCCAAAAAAUCCCCCCCAAAAAUCCCAAAAAAAUCCCCCAAAAAAUCCCAAAAAAUCCCCAAAAUUCCCAGAUUUUUCCCAGAAUUCCCAGAUUUUUCCCGGAAUUCCCGGAUUUUCCCGGAAUUCCCGGAUUUUCCCGGGUUUCCAGGUGGGCUACGAGCUGAAGGAGGAGAUCGAGCGCAGCGAAACCCCAAAAAAUCCCCCAAAAUCCCCAAAAAAAUCCCCAAAAAAUCCCCAGAAUUCCCAGAUUUUUCCCAGAAUUCCCAGAUUUUUCCCAGAAUUCCCGGAAUUCCCGGAAUUCCCGGCUUUCCCCGGCUCUCCAGGUGGGCUACGAGCUGAAGGAGGAGAUCGAGCGCAAGUUCGACAAGUGGCAGGAGCCGCCCCCGGUCAAGCAGGUGAAGCCGCUGCCGGCGCCGCUCGACGGCCAGAGGAAGAAGAGAGGGGGCCGCAGGUACCGGAAGAUGAAGGAGCGCCUGGGGCUGACGGAGAUCCGCAAGCAGGCCAACAGGAUGAGCUUUGGGGAGAUCGAGGAGGACGCUUACCAGGAGGACCUGGGUUUCAGCCUGGGCCACCUGGGCAAGGCCGGCAGCGGCCGCGUUCGCCAGACCCAGGUCAAUGAGGCCACCAAAGCCCGGAUCAGCAAAACCCUGCAGAGGACGCUGCAGAAGCAGAGCGUGGUGUACGGGGGUAAAUCCACCAUUCGGGACCGGAGCUCGGGCACGGCCUCGAGCGUGGCCUUCACCCCCCUGCAGGUGGGGAUUUGGGGGGGUUUGAGGGGUUUGGGGGGUCUCAAGGGGGAUUUUGGGGGGUUUGAGGGG
rnacentral:lncRNA from 1 species